CAAAGGAAGCGAUUCCGGCAACGGAUGGGCAUGCGUGACAUUAGCUAGUUGGCGGGGCAACGGCCCACCAAGGCGACGAUGUCUAGGGGUUCUGAGAGGAAGGUCCCCCACACUGGUACUGAGACACGGACCAGACUCCUACGGGAGGCAGCAGUGAGGAAUAUUGGUCAAUGGGCGCGAGCCUGAACCAGCCAAGUCGCGUGAGAGAUGACGGCCCUACGGGUUGUAAACCUCUUUUGUCGGGGAGCAAAUUCCGCCACGCGUGGCGGAGUCGAGAAUACCCGAAGAAAAAGCAUCGGCUAACUCCGUGCCAGCAGCCGCGGUAAUACGGAGGAUGCGAGCGUUAUCCGGAUUUAUUGGGUUUAAAGGGUGCGUAGGCGGACUGUCAAGUCAGCGGUAAAAUACGGGGGCUCAACCUCCGCCCGCCGUUGAAACUGACGGUCUUGAGUGGGCGAGAAGUAUGCGGAAUGCGUGGUGUAGCGGUGAAAUGCAUAGAUAUCACGCAGAACUCCGAUUGCGAAGGCAGCAUACCGGCGCCCAACUGACGCUGAAGCACGAAAGCGUGGGUAUCGAACAGGAUUAGAUACCCUGGUAGUCCACGCAGUAAACGAUGAAUACUAGCUGUCCGGGGCGAAUGAGCUCUGG
rnacentral:rRNA from 1 species